GGGGAAUAUUGGACAAUGGGCGCAAGCCUGAUCCAGCCACGCCGCGUGAGUGAUGAAGGCCUUCGGGUCGUAAAGCUCUGUGGGGAGGGACGAACCGCUGGGUAUUAAUACCAUCCAGCAUGACGGUACCUCCUUAGCAAGCACCGGCUAACUUCGUGCCAGCAGCCGCGGUAAUACGAAGGGUUCAAACGCUGCUCGGAAUUAUUGGGCGUAAAGCGCACGUAGGCGGCCCAGCAAGUCGGAAGUGAAAUCCCACGGCUCAACCAUGGAAGUGCUUUCGAAACUGCUAGGCUUGAGUACAAAAGAGGAUCGCGGAAUUCCCGGUGUAGAGGUGAAAUUCGUAGAUAUCGGGAGGAACACCAGCGGCGAAGGCGGCGAUCUGGGUUGAUACUGACGCUGAGGUGCGAAAGCGUGGGGAGCAAAC
rnacentral:rRNA from 1 species